rnacentral:rRNA from 1 species
UACGGGGGGGGCAAGCGUUGUUCGGAAUUACUGGGCGUAAAGGGCUUGUAGGUGGCCAACUAAGUCAGACGUGAAAUCCCUCGGCUUAACCGGGGAACUGCGUCUGAUACUGGAUGGCUAGAGUGUGGGAGAGGGAUGCGGAAUUCCAGGUGUAGCGGUGAAAUGCGUAGAUAUCUGGAGGAACACCGGUGGCGAAGGCGGCGUCCUGGACCAACACUGACACUGAUGAGCGAAAGCCAGGGGAGCAAACGGG